rnacentral:rRNA from 1 species
GAUGAACGCUGGCGGCGUGCCUAAUACAUGCAAGUCGAGCGAACAGACGAGGAGCUUGCUCCUCUGACGUUAGCGGCGGACGGGUGAGUAACACGUGGAUAACCUACCUAUAAGACUGGGAUAACUUCGGGAAACCGGAGCUAAUACCGGAUAAUAUAUUGAACCGCAUGGUUCAAUAGUGAAAGACGGUUUUGCUGUCACUUAUAGAUGGAUCCGCGCCGCAUUAGCUAGUUGGUAAGGUAACGGCUUACCAAGGCAACGAUGCGUAGCCGACCUGAGAGGGACAUUCAGCACCUGGGAUGAGAGGAUCGUCCCCCACUCCUGCGGUAGGCAGCAGCACAGACUCCUCCGCGAUGCGGCAGUGCCGGACGGAGCGCAGCCGCGUGAGUCAUGACGGUGUUCUGAUGGUAGAACGCUGUUAUUAGUGAGGUACAAAUGUGUAAGUACCGGUGCACGUCUUGACGGUACCUGAUCAGAAAGCCCCGGCUAACUACGUG